rnacentral:rRNA from 1 species
ACGUAGGAGACGAGCGUUGUCCGGAGUUACUGGGCGUAAAGGGUGCGCAGGUGGCGGCGCGCGUGGGGGGUGAAAUCGCCCGGCUUAACUGGGCGGGGGCCUUCCAGACGGCGUGGCUUGAGCAGCGGAGGGGGACGUGGAAUUCCGGGUGGAGCGGUGAAAUGCGUAGAGAUCGGGAGGAACACCGACGGCGAAGGCAGCGCCCUGGACGAGACCUGACGCUCAGGCACGAAAGCUGGGGGAGCAAACAGGA